UUAACCCGAAACAUUCUUUGGAUGGCUGGAAAUCUUUCACUAUAAAUAGCUACUACCUCUUCAGUGCAAUUCAUACAGCAAACUAGAACACAUAUAUACAUACAUACAAUAAAAAUCAAUUUAUAUUUGCAAAGUAAAUCCCUCAUCAUCAUGAACAACAAGGUCAUUCUUGCCCUCCUGUUCUGCUUCUUCCUCGUUGCAUCCAAUGAGAUGCAAGUUGGGGAGGCAUAAGUAUGCCAAAGGCGCAGCAAGACAUGGUCUGGGCCUUGUAUUAACACUGGCAAUUGUAGCCGUCAAUGCAAGAAUCAAGAAGAUGGCCGGUUUGGAGCUUGUCAUAGAAGUGGCAUUGGAUUUGCUUGCUUCUGCUAUUUCAACUGCUAAAUGAAAACCACCACCUAUAUGUUCGUAUCUAUUUCUAAGAGUGUGUACUGUCAAAUAUGUUACAGUGUUGUGUGUUGUGCUUGAAUAAGGGCUUCCAAUUUACUAAAAUUGGAAUCACCCCUCGUUGUGUUGUAAGGGCAUCCAAUUUACUAAAACUGGAAGUACCCCUCGUUGUGUAGUCUGUCCAAUUUACAUAUUGUAUUGUAUUGUAAUAACUUUAUUAUUUUGAUGAAUAUAAUGUUAGAAUA